CCUACGGGUGGCUGCAGACGAGAAUAUUCCGCAAUGGACGAAAGUCUGACGGAGCGACGCCGCGUGAUGGAUGAAGUGCUUUGGUACGUAAACAUCUUUUAUCGGGGACGAAGUUUAUUGACGGUACCCGAUGAAUAAGGAGCUCCUAACUCUGUGCCAGCAGGAGCGGUAAUACAGAGGCUCCAAGCAUUACCCGGAAUCACUGGGCGUAAAGGGUGUCUAGGCGGCCAUAUUAGUCUCUCGUUAAAUGUCCGGGCUUAACCUGGUCACUGCGAGGGAAACGGUAUGGCUCGAGAGCGUAAGAGGUGCAUGGAACUCAUGGUGUAGGGGUGAAAUCCGUUGAUAUCAUGGGGAACACCAAAGGCGAAGGCAGUGCACUGGUACGUUUCUGACGCUCAAACACGAAAGCCAGGGUAGCGAAUGGGAUUAGAUACCCUAGUAGUC
rnacentral:rRNA from 1 species